ensembl:snoRNA small nucleolar RNA, H/ACA box 41B
UGCCACAGCUACUAGUCUCUAGCUGUCCUUAUGGUAGCAGUUGUGGCAUUCCACUGUGGGAAAGAAACCAUUAUGUGAUGAAACAUCUCUUUCUUAGCAAAACAGAAGUUGGGCAUAUGUGUGAUGAACAGAA